rnacentral:rRNA from 1 species
CAGUCGCCACGGUAAAACGUAGGGUGCAAGCGUUAAUCGGAAUUACUGGGCGUAAAGCGUGCGCAAGCGGUUAUAUAAGUCAGAUGUGAAAUCCCCGGGCUCAACCCGGGAACUGCAUUUGAGACUGUAUGGCUAGAGUGUGUCAGAGGGGGGUAGAAUUCCACGUGUAGCAGUGAAAUGCGUAGAUAUGUGGAGGAAUACCGAUGGCGAAGGCAGCCCCCUGGGAUAACACUGACGCUCAUGCACGAAAGCGUGGGGAGCAAACAGGAUUAGAUACCCCUGUAGUCCCUGUCUCUUAUAC